rnacentral:rRNA from 1 species
UGGGGAAUAUUGGACAAUGGGGGAAACCCUGAUCCAGCGACGCCGCGUGUGUGAAGAAGGCCUGCGGGUUGUAAAGCACUUUUAGUGGGGAUGAAAGGUGCAGAGCUAACACCUCUGCAUCUUGACCUGACCCACAGAAAAAGCACCGGCUAACUCUGUGCCAGCAGCCGCGGUAAUACAGAGGGUGCGAGCGUUAAUCGGAAUUACUGGGCGUAAAGCGUGCGUAGACGGUAAUGUAAGUCGGGUGUGAAAGCCCCGGGCUCAACCUGGGAAUUGCAUUCGAGACUGCAUUGCUAGGGUGCGGAAGAGGGAAGCGGAAUUUCCGGUGUAGCGGUGAAAUGCGUAGAUAUCGGAAGGAACACCAGUGGCGAAAGCGGCUUCCUGGUCCGACACCGACGUUCAGGCACGAAAGCGUGGGGAGCAAACAGGAUUAGAUACCCUGGUAGUCCACGCCAUAAACGAUGAGAACUAGA